GAAGGAAAUACAUUUUUGGAGAAGGAAAACCUAGAAGCGGGGGAUUUAGCCGCAAGUGUACAGAAUUGACGUGUGUGAAGUUUGGGGGAGGAGAAGAUUUUGACAAACAGUAAGGCUGAGAAAUCUCAACUUAGGACGCCCUGCCAGUUGCUGGUAUAACUUUUUCAAUUGAGGCAUAUGGAGCUUCUGUGAUGAUCUUGAUCUGUCUGAUGCUUAGAGGAGUUGGCAGCGAUAUUAGCUAGGUUGGGGUUCUUGAGAAGAGCUUAAGUAGUUCGCUAGAUGUUUUUGUUAAAACAUUUAUUUUGGGAAUAUUCAUGGAAUAGUUUAUCUUUCUAUUCUUGUUGGCGAUACCAAAAUUCUUAGAGGGUUGUUCUUUCAAAACUUUGAAGCUUGGAAGUUUAUUAUUAAGAAAAUAUUUUUUUUUCUGCUUUU
rnacentral:lncRNA from 1 species